GCAUUGGUGGUUACAGUGGUAGAAUCCUCGCCUGCCACGCGAGGGGCCCGGGUUCGAUUCCCGGCCAAUGCA
rnacentral:tRNA from 1 species